GCGGCGCUGGCGCAGGUCCGCGCGGACGCGGUCCAGGGCCGCGGCGACCACGGCCGGGUGACGGGGCUCCCCGGCACCGAGCCGGGCCGCCACC
rnacentral:tRNA from 1 species